rnacentral:SRP_RNA from 1 species
UAGUGUAGUUGAUGCAACAAUAAUAGUGGAACCAAGUCAGGACCGGAAGGUAGCAGCUUUAACACUUAAUUAUUGUGUGCAUCUUUUAUUUGUAAUAA